rnacentral:rRNA from 1 species
UUUGCCAGGGGGAUAAAAAAGUCCCUGCGGGGAAAAUUGAAGGUACCUGGUGAAUAAGCCACGGCUAACUACGUGCCAGCAGCCGCGGUAAUACGUAGGUGGCAAGCGUUGUCCGGAUUUAUUGGGUUUAAAGGGUGCGUAGGUUGUGUUGUAAGUCAGUGGUGAAAUCCGGCAGCUUAACUGUCGAUGUGCCAUUGAUACUGCAGCACUUGAGUACAGACGAGGUAGGCGGAAUUGACGGUGUAGCGGUGAAAUGCUUAGAUAUCGUCAAGAACACCGAUAGCGAAGGCAGCUUACUAGACUGUAACUGACACUGAUGCACGAAAGUGUGGGGAUCAAACAGGAUUAGAUACCCUGGUAGUCCACACUGUAAACGAUGAUUACUCGAUGUUGGCGAUACACAGCCAGCGUCUUAGCGAAAGCGAUAGUAAUCCACCUGGGGAGUACGCCGCAAGGGUGAAACUCAAAGGA